ensembl:snRNA U6 U6 spliceosomal RNA
GUGCUCACUUUGGCAGCACAUAUGCUAAAAUCGGAAUGAUACAGAGAAGAUUAGCCUGGCCCCUGCACAAAGAUGACAUGGAAAUUCUUGAAGUAUCCCAUAUUUUG